rnacentral:rRNA from 1 species
UACGAAGGGGGCUAGCGUUGCUCGGAAUUACUGGGCUUAAAGGGUGCGUAGGCGGCGCGGAAAGUUGGGUGUGAAAUCCCUCGGCUCAACCGAGGAACUGCGCUCAAUACUACCGUGCUCGAGGGAGACAGAGGUGAGCGGAACUUAGGGUGGAGCGGUGAAAAGCGUUGAUAUCCUAAGGAACACCCGUGGCGAAAGCGGCUCACUGGGUCUCUUCUGACGCUGAGGCACGAAAGCUAGGGUAGCGAACGGG